CAGGACUAAACCAGGUCUAAACCAGGUCUAAACCAGGUCUAAACCAGGACUAAACCAGGACUAAACCAGGACUAAACCAGGUCUAAACCAGGUCUAAAUCAGGACUAAACCAGGACUAAACCAGGUCUAAACCAGGACUAAACCAGGUCUAAACCAGGACUAAACCAGGUCUAAACCAGGUCUAAACCAGGACUAAACCAGGACUAAACCAGGUCUAAAUCAGGACUAAACCAGGACUAAACCAGGACUAAACCAAGACUAAACCAGGACUAAACCAGGUCUAAAUCAGGACUAAACCAGGUCUAAAUCAGGAAUAAACCAGGUCUAAACCAGGUCUAAACCAGGACUAAACCAGGUCUAAACCAGGACUAAACCAGGACUAAACCAGGACUAAACCAGGUCUAAACCAGGACUAAACCAGCACUAAAC
ensembl:lncRNA